CCUACGGGUGGCAGCAGUGGGGAAUCUUGCACAAUGGGGGAAACCCUGAUGCAGCGACGCCGCGUGAGCGAUGAAGCCCUUCGGGGUGUAAAGCUCUUUCGACCGGAACGAUAAUGACGGUACCGGGAGAAGAAGCUGCGGCUAACUACGUGCCAGCAGCCGCGGUAAUACGUAGGCAGCGAGCGUUGUUCGGAGUUACUGGGCGUAAAGCGUGCGUAGGCGGUGCCAUAAGUCUGUUGUGAAAUCUCCCGGCUCAACUGGGAGGGUGCGGUGGAAACUGUGGUGCUGGAGUGUGGGAGAGGUAGGCGGAAUUCCUGGUGUAGCGGUGAAAUGCGUAGAUAUCAGGAGGAACACCUGUGGUGUAGACGGCUUACUGGACCAUGACUGACGCUGAGGCACGAAAGCGUGGGGAGCAAACAGGAUUAGAUACCCCUGUAGUC
rnacentral:rRNA from 1 species